AUUGAACGCUGGCGGCAUGCCUUACACAUGCAAGUCGAGCGCGAAAGGGGGCAACCCCGAGUAGAGCGGCGGACGGGUGAGUAACACAUCGGAACGUGCCCAGUAGUGGGGGACAACCUCGAGAAAUCGAGGCUAAUACCGCAUACGACCCACGGGUGAAAGCGGGGGACCGCAAGGCCUCGCGCUAUUGGAGCGGCCGAUGUCCGAUUAGCUAGUUGGCGGGGUAAGAGCCCACCAAGGCGACGAUCGGUAGCUGGUCUGAGAGGACGACCAGCCACACUGGGACUGAGACACGGCCCAGACUCCUACGGGAGGCAGCAGUGGGGAAUUUGGACAAUGGGGGCAACCCUGAUCCAGCCAUGCCGCGUG
rnacentral:rRNA from 1 species